rnacentral:rRNA from 1 species
UCGAGCGAACAGAUAAGGAGCUUGCUCCUUUGACGUUAGCGGCGGACGGGUGAGUAACACGUGGGUAACCUACCUAUAAGACUGGGAUAACUUCGGGAAACCGGAGCUAAUACCGGAUAACAUUUGGAACCGCAUGGUUCUAAAGUGAAAGAUGGUUUUGCUAUCACUUAUAGAUGGACCCGCGCCGUAUUAGCUAGUUGGUAAGGUAACGGCUUACCAAGGCGACGAUACGUAGCCGACCUGAGAGGGUGAUCGGCCACACUGGAACUGAGACACGGUCCAGACUCCUACGGGAGGCAGCAGUAGGGAAUCUUCCGCAAUGGGCGAAAGCCUGACGGAGCAACGCCGCGUGAGUGAUGAAGGGUUUCGGCUCGUAAAACUCUGUUAUUAGGGAAGAACAAACGUGUAAGUAACUGUGCACGUCUUGACGGUACCUAAUCAGAAAGCCACGGCUAACUACGUGCCAGCAGCCGCGGUAAUACGUAGGUGGCAAGCGUUAUCCGGAAUUAUUGGGCGUAAAGCGCGCGUAGGCGGUUUCUUAAGUCUGAUGUGAAAGCCCACGGCUCAACCGUGGAGGGUCAUUGGAAACUGGGAAACUUGAGUGCAGAAGAGGAAAGUGGAAUUCCAUGUGUAGCGGUGAAAUGCGCAGAGAUAUGGAGGAACACCAGUGGCGAAGGCGACUUUCUGGUCUGUAACUGACGCUGAUGUGCGAAAGCGUGGGGAUCAAACAGGAUUAGAUACCCUGGUAGUCCACGCCGUAAACGAUGAGUGCUAAGUGUUAGGGGGUUUCCGCCCCUUAGUGCUGCAGCUAACGCAUUAAGCACUCCGCCUGGGGAGUACGACCGCAAGGUUGAAACUCAAAGGAAUUGACGGGGACCCGCACAAGCGGUGGAGCAUGUGGUUUAAUUCGAAGCAACGCGAAGAACCUUACCAAAUCUUGACAUCCUUUGAAAACUCUAGAGAUAGAGCCUUCCCCUUCGGGGGACAAAGUGACAGGUGGUGCAUGGUUGUCGUCAGCUCGUGUCGUGAGAUGUUGGGUUAAGUCCCGCAACGAGCGCAACCCUUAAGCUUAGUUGCCAUCAUUAAGUUGGGCACUCUAGGUUGACUGCCGGUGACAAACCGGAGGAAGGUGGGGAUGACGUCAAAUCAUCAUGCCCCUUAUGAUUUGGGCUACACACGUGCUACAAUGGACAAUACAAAGGGCAGCUAAACCGCGAGGUCAUGCAAAUCCCAUAAAGUUGUUCUCAGUUCGGAUUGUAGUCUGCAACUCGACUACAUGAAGCUGGAAUCGCUAGUAAUCGUAGAUCAGCAUGCUACGGUGAAUACGUUCCCGGGUCUUGUACACACCGCCCGUCACACCACGAGAGUUUGUAACACCCGAAGCCGGUGGAGUAACCAUUUAUGGAG